rnacentral:rRNA from 1 species
GGGUUGUGAGGUUAAGCGACUAAGCGUACACGGUGGAUGCCCUGGCAGUCAGAGGCGAUGAAGGACGUGCUAAUCUGCGAUAAGCGUCGGUAAGGUGAUAUGAACCGUUAUAACCGGCGAUUUCCGAAUGGGGAAACCCAGUGUGAUUCGUCACACUAUCAUUAACUGAAUCCAUAGGUUAAUGAGGCGAACCGGGGGAACUGAAACAUCUAAGUACCCCGAGGAAAAGAAAUCAACCGAGAUUCCCCCAGUAGCGGCGAGCGAACGGGGAGCAGCCCAGAGCCUGAAUCAGUGUGUGUGUUAGUGGAAGCGUCUGGAAAGGCGCGCGAUACAGGGUGACAGCCCCGUACACAAAAAUGCACAUGCUGUGAGCUCGAUGAGUAGGGCGGGACACGUGGUAUCCUGUCUGAAUAUGGGGGGACCAUCCUCCAAGGCUAAAUACUCCUGACUGACCGAUAGUGAACCAGUACCGUGAGGGAAAGGCGAAAAGAACCCCGGCGAGGGGAGUGAAAAAGAACCUGAAACCGUGUACGUACAAGCAGUGGGAGCACGCUUAGGCGUGUGACUGCGUACCUUUUGUAUAAUGGGUCAGCGACUUAUAUUCUGUAGCAAGGUUAACCGAAUAGGGGAGCCGAAGGGAAACCGAGUCUUAACUGGGCGUUAAGUUGCAGGGUAUAGACCCGAAACCCGGUGAUCUAGCCAUGGGCAGGUUGAAGGUUGGGUAACACUAACUGGAGGACCGAACCGACUAAUGUUGAAAAAUUAGCGGAUGACUUGUGGCUGGGGGUGAAAGGCCAAUCAAACCGGGAGAUAGCUGGUUCUCCCCGAAAGCUAUUUAGGUAGCGCCUCGUGAAUUCAUCUCCGGGGGUAGAGCACUGUUUCGGCAAGGGGGUCAUCCCGACUUACCAACCCGAUGCAAACUGCGAAUACCGGAGAAUGUUAUCACGGGAGACACACGGCGGGUGCUAACGUCCGUCGUGAAGAGGGAAACAACCCAGACCGCCAGCUAAGGUCCCAAAGUCAUGGUUAAGUGGGAAACGAUGUGGGAAGGCCCAGACAGCCAGGAUGUUGGCUUAGAAGCAGCCAUCAUUUAAAGAAAGCGUAAUAGCUCACUGGUCGAGUCGGCCUGCGCGGAAGAUGUAACGGGGCUAAACCAUGCACCGAAGCUGCGGCAGCGACACUGUGUGUUGUUGGGUAGGGGAGCGUUCUGUAAGCCUGCGAAGGUGUGCUGUGAGGCAUGCUGGAGGUAUCAGAAGUGCGAAUGCUGACAUAAGUAACGAUAAAGCGGGUGAAAAGCCCGCUCGCCGGAAGACCAAGGGUUCCUGUCCAACGUUAAUCGGGGCAGGGUGAGUCGACCCCUAAGGCGAGGCCGAAAGGCGUAGUCGAUGGGAAACAGGUUAAUAUUCCUGUACUUGGUGUUACUGCGAAGGGGGGACGGAGAAGGCUAUGUUGGCCGGGCGACGGUUGUCCCGGUUUAAGCGUGUAGGCUGGUUUUCCAGGCAAAUCCGGAAAAUCAAGGCUGAGGCGUGAUGACGAGGCACUACGGUGCUGAAGCAACAAAUGCCCUGCUUCCAGGAAAAGCCUCUAAGCAUCAGGUAACAUCAAAUCGUACCCCAAACCGACACAGGUGGUCAGGUAGAGAAUACCAAGGCGCUUGAGAGAACUCGGGUGAAGGAACUAGGCAAAAUGGUGCCGUAACUUCGGGAGAAGGCACGCUGAUACGUAGGUGAAGUCCCUCGCGGAUGGAGCUGAAAUCAGUCGAAGAUACCAGCUGGCUGCAACUGUUUAUUAAAAACACAGCACUGUGCAAACACGAAAGUGGACGUAUACGGUGUGACGCCUGCCCGGUGCCGGAAGGUUAAUUGAUGGGGUCAGCGCAAGCGAAGCUCUUGAUCGAAGCCCCGGUAAACGGCGGCCGUAACUAUAACGGUCCUAAGGUAGCGAAAUUCCUUGUCGGGUAAGUUCCGACCUGCACGAAUGGCGUAAUGAUGGCCAGGCUGUCUCCACCCGAGACUCAGUGAAAUUGAACUCGCUGUGAAGAUGCAGUGUACCCGCGGCAAGACGGAAAGACCCCGUGAACCUUUACUAUAGCUUGACACUGAACAUUGAGCCUUGAUGUGUAGGAUAGGUGGGAGGCUUUGAAGUGUGGACGCCAGUCUGCAUGGAGCCGACCUUGAAAUACCACCCUUUAAUGUUUGAUGUUCUAACGUUGACCCGUAAUCCGGGUUGCGGACAGUGUCUGGUGGGUAGUUUGACUGGGGCGGUCUCCUCCUAAAGAGUAACGGAGGAGCACGAAGGUUGGCUAAUCCUGGUCGGACAUCAGGAGGUUAGUGCAAUGGCAUAAGCCAGCUUGACUGCGAGCGUGACGGCGCGAGCAGGUGCGAAAGCAGGUCAUAGUGAUCCGGUGGUUCUGAAUGGAAGGGCCAUCGCUCAACGGAUAAAAGGUACUCCGGGGAUAACAGGCUGAUACCGCCCAAGAGUUCAUAUCGACGGCGGUGUUUGGCACCUCGAUGUCGGCUCAUCACAUCCUGGGGCUGAAGUAGGUCCCAAGGGUAUGGCUGUUCGCCAUUUAAAGUGGUACGCGAGCUGGGUUUAGAACGUCGUGAGACAGUUCGGUCCCUAUCUGCCGUGGGCGCUGGAGAACUGAGGGGGGCUGCUCCUAGUACGAGAGGACCGGAGUGGACGCAUCACUGGUGUUCGGGUUGUCAUGCCAAUGGCACUGCCCGGUAGCUAAAUGCGGAAGAGAUAAGUGCUGAAAGCAUCUAAGCACGAAACUUGCCCCGAGAUGAGUUCUCCCUGAC